rnacentral:rRNA from 1 species
UACAGAGGUCCCAAGCGUUGUUCGGAUUCACUGGGCGUAAAGGGUGCGUAGGCGGUCGGGUAAGUCUGGCGUGAAAUCUCCAAGCCUAACUUGGAAACUGCGUUGGAUACUAUCCGGCUCGAGGAAUGGAGGGGAGACUGGAAUACUUGGUGUAGCAGUGAAAUGCGUAGAUAUCAAGUGGAACACCAGUGGCGAAGGCGAGUCUCUGGACAUUUCCUGACGCUGAGGCACGAGAGCCAGGGGAGCAAACGGG